UGAACGCUGGCGGCGUGCCUAAUACAUGCAAGUCGAGCGAACAGACGAGGAGCUUGCUCCUCUGACGUUAGCGGCGGACGGGUGAGUAACACGUGGAUAACCUACCUAUAAGACUGGGAUAACUUCGGGAAACCGGAGCUAAUACCGGAUAAUAUAUUGAACCGCAUGGUUCAAUAGUGAAAGACGGUUUUGCUGUCACUUAUAGAUGGAUCCGCGCCGCAUUAGCUAGUUGGUAAGGUAACGGCUUACCAAGGCAACGAUGCGUAGCCGACCUGAGAGGGUGAUCGGCCACACUGGAACUGAGACACGGUCCAGACUCCUACGGGAGGCAGCAGUAGGGAAUCUUCCGCAAUGGGCGAAAGCCUGACGGAGCAACGCCGCGUGAGUGAUGAAGGUCUUCGGAUCGUAAAACUCUGUUAUUAGGGAAGAACAAAUGUGUAAGUAACUAUGCACGUCUUGACGGUACCUAAUCGGAAAGCCACGGCUAACUACGUG
rnacentral:rRNA from 1 species